rnacentral:rRNA from 1 species
UGGUGGAGUGAUUUGUCUGGUUAAUUCCGUUAACGAACGAGACCUCGACCUGCUAAAUAGUUCGGCAAAUCUUAGGAUUUGUUCGUGACUUCUUAGAGGGACUAUCGGUGGGUAGCCGAUGGAAGUUCGAGGCAAUAACA